GACGAACGCUGGCGGCGUGCUUAACACAUGCAAGUCGAACGGAAAGGCCCUGCUUUUGUGGGGUGCUCGAGUGGCGAACGGGUGAGUAACACGUGAGUAACCUGCCCUUGACUUUGGGAUAACUUCAGGAAACUGGGGCUAAUACCGGAUAGGAGCUCCUGCUGCAUGGUGGGGGUUGGAAAGUUUCGGCGGUUGGGGGUGGACUCGCGGCUUAUCAGCUUGUUGGUGGGGUAGUGGCUUACCAAGGCUUUGACGGGUAGCCGGCCUGAGAGGGUGACCGGCCACAUUGGGACUGAGGUACGGCCCAGACUCCUACGGGAGGCAGCAGUGGGGAAUAUUGCACAAUGGGCGGAAGCCUGAUGCAGCAACGCCGCGUGCGGGAUGACGGCCUUCGGGUUGUAAACCGCUUUCGCCUGUGACGAAGCGUGAGUGACGGUAAUGGGUAAAGAAGCACCGGCUAACUACGUG
rnacentral:rRNA from 1 species